AAUUAAAACUUAUUCUUCGGGUGUAAAUACUUUAAUGGUUUGAAAACACCAAAACAUUUUAAAAAUUAAAAUGCUCUCAACUAGUUGGCUUAAGAAAUUAAAACUGGUUCAAUUAUUAAAAUGACAUACAUCAAAAGUACAUAUACAUUUGUUUUUAAAUCUUAAAACACUCUAUUAGUUUUUGUUUGUGUGUUGUAUAGCCAAUUAUUAAA